GGAGUCUGGACCGUGUCUCAGUUCCAGUGUGGGGGGACCUUCCUCUCAGAACCCCUAGACAUCGUCGCCUCGGUGGGCCGUUACCCCGCCGACUAGCUAAUGUCACGCGAGCCCAUCCCUGUCCGAUUAAUCUUUCAAUACAGAAUCAUGCGACUCCGCAUCCUACGGGGUAUUACUACGACGUU
rnacentral:rRNA from 1 species